rnacentral:rRNA from 1 species
CUACGGGUUGCAGCAGUGGGGAAUAUUGGACAAUGGGGGAAACCCUGAUCCAGCAAUGCCGCGUGUGUGAAGAAGGCCUGCGGGUUGUAAAGCACUUUCGGUUGGGAGGACUGCUUCUAGCACUAAUAUUGUUGGAAGUUGACGUUACCUUCAGAAGAAGCACCGGCUAACUCCGUGCCAGCAGCCGCGGUAAUACGGAGGGUGCAAGCGUUGAUCGGAAUUACUGGGCGUAAAGCGCGCGUAGGCGGCUAGAUCAGUCGGGUGUGAAAGCCCCGGGCUUAACCUGGGAACUGCAUCCGAUACUGUCUAGCUUGAGUACAGGAGAGGAGAGUGGAAUUCCACAUGUAGCGGUGAAAUGCGUAGAUAUGUGGAGGAACACCAAUGGCGAAGGCAGCUCUCUGGCCUGAUACCGACGCUGAGGUGCGAAAGCGUGGGGAGCAAACAGGAUUAGAUACCCGUGUAGUC